rnacentral:rRNA from 1 species
GACGAACGCUGGCGGCGUGCUUAACACAUGCAAGUCGAACGGAAAGGCCCUGCUUUUGUGGGGUGCUCGAGUGGCGAACGGGUGAGUAACACGUGAGUAACCUGCCCUUGACUUUGGGAUAACUUCAGGAAACUGGGGCUAAUACCGGAUAGGAGCUCCUGCUGCAUGGUGGGGGUUGGAAAGUUUCGGCGGUUGGGAUGGGAUUGCGGCUUAUCAGCUUGUUGGGGGGGUAGUGGCUUACCAAGGCUUUGACGGGUAGCCGGCCUGAGAGGGUGACCGGCCACAUUGGGACUGAGAUACGGCCCAGACUCCUACGGGAGGCAGCAGUGGGGAAUAUUGCACAAUGGGCGGAAGCCUGAUGCAGCAACGCCGCGUGCGGGAUGACGGCCUUCGGGUUGUAAACCGCUUUCGCCUGUGACGAAGCGUGAGUGACGGUAAUGGGUAAAGAAGCACCGGCUAACUACGUG